rnacentral:rRNA from 1 species
UCUGGUUGAUCCUGCCAGAGGUUACUGCUAUCGAGGGUUCGACUAAGCCAUGCGAGUCGAAUGUUCCUUCGGGGACAUGGCGCACUGCUCAGUAACACGUGGAUAACCUGCCCUUAGGUCUGGGAUACUCCUGGGAAACUGGGCAUAAUCCCGGAUAAGCCACAGAUGCUGGAAUGCGCUGUGGUUCAAAGCUCCGGUGCCUAAGGAUGGGUCUGCGGCCUAUCAGGGUAGUAGUGGGUGUAACGUACCUACUAGCCGACGACGGGUACGGGUUGUGAGAGCAAGAGCCCGGAGAUGGAUUCUGAGACACGAAUCCAGGCCUUACGGGGUGCAGCAGGCGCGAAAACUUUACAAUGCGGGAAACCGCGAUAAGGGAACCUCGAGUGCCAGCAUACAAUGUUGGCUGUCCAGGUGCCUAAAAAGCAUCUGUUAGCAAGGGCCGGGCAAGACCGGUGCCAGCCGCCGCGGUAACACCGGCGGCUCGAGUGGUAACCGCUAUUAUUGGGUCUAAAGGGUCUGUAGCCGGCCGAAUAAGUCCCUUGGGAAAUCUGGCAGCUUAACUGUCAGGCCUUCAGGGGAUACUGUUUGGCUUGGGACCGGGAGAGGUGAGAGGUACCUCAGGGGUAGGGGUGAAAUCUUGUAAUCCUUGAGGGACCACCAGUGGCGAAGGCGUCUCACCAGAACGGAUCCGACGGCAAGGGACGAAAGCUAGGGGCACGAACCGGAUUAGAUACCCGGGUAGUCCUAGCCGUAAACGAUACUCGCUAGGGUCAGCAACGUGCACCGGUGUGUCCUAGGAAGCCGGAACCACCACCUGGGAAGUCGGCGCAAGGCUGAACUUAAAGGAAUGGCGGGGAGCACCACAACGGUGAGCUGCGUUUAAUGGAUUCAACGCCGGAAAGCUACCGGGACCGACAGCAACAUGAAGGCCAGGCUAAAGACCUGCUGGAUUAGCUGAGAGGUGGUGCAUGGCCGUCGUCAGUUUCGUACUGCGAAGCAUCCUGUUAAGUCAGGCAACGAGCGAGGACCCCACGCCCACAGUUGCCAGCAUGCCUUUCGGGGCGAUGGGGUACUCUGUGGGGGACCGCCGCUGCUAAAGCGGAGGAAGGAAUGGGCAACGGUAGGUCAGUAUGCCCCGAAUAUCCCGGGCUACACGCGGGCUACAAUGGUUGGCACAAUGGGAAUCUACCCCGUAGGGGACGGAAAUCUCCUAAAACCAAUCGUAGUUCGGAUUGAGGGCUGAAACUCGCCCUCAUGAAGCUGGAAUCCGUAGUAAUCGCGUUUCAAUAGAACGCGGUGAAUACGUCCCUGCUCCUUGCACACACCGCCCGUCAAACCACCCGAGUAGGGUCUGGAUGAGGGUGAGCCCACUUGACUCAUUCGAAUCUGGAUUCUGCAAGGGGGGUUAAGUUUAACAAGGUAGCCGUA